rfam:Oidiodendron maius Zn unplaced genomic scaffold scaffold_17, whole genome shotgun sequence.
GCCUGGAUGGCGCAGUGGUCGUGCGCCUCGGGUCCCAAAAGUCGUCGCGACUAACGAGUCUCGCCCCGCUUAUUAGGAUGUGGUAUGUAAGGGAUGUUGGUUCGAAUCCAGCUCUAGGCA